rnacentral:snRNA from 1 species
GCUUCUGGGCCUUUCAGCUAAGAUCAAGUGUAUUA